GAACUGCGAUAAGUAAUGUGAAUUGCAGAAUUCAGUGAAUCAUCGAGUCUUUGAACGCACAUUGCGCCCCCUGGCAUUCCGGGGGGCAUGCCUGUCCGAGCGUCAUUGCUGCCCUUCAAGCCCGGCUUGUGUGUGGGGUCGUCGUCCCCUCCGGGGGACGGGCCCGAAAGGCAGCGGCGGCACCGCGUCCGGUCCUCGAGCGUAUGGGGCUUUGUCACCCGCUCGAUAAGGACCGGCCGGGCGCCAGCCGGCGUCUCCAACCUUUUUUUCUCAGGUUGACCUCGGAUCAGGUAGGGAUACCCGCUGAACUUAAGC
rnacentral:misc_RNA from 1 species